rnacentral:rRNA from 1 species
UACGGGGGGAGCAAGCGUUGUUCGGAUUUACUGGGCGUAAAGGGCGCGUAGGCGGUCAGCACAAGUCAGUUGUGAAAUCUCCGAGCUUAACUCGGAAAGGUCAACCGAAACUGUGCGACUAGAGUGCAGAAGGGGCAACUGGAAUUCUUGGUGUAGCGGUGAAAUGCGUAGAUAUCAAGAGGAACACCUGCGGCGAAGGCGGGUUGCUGGGCUGACACUGACGCUGAAGCGCGAAAGCCAGGGGAGCGAACGGG